rnacentral:rRNA from 1 species
GAAGAAGUGAAUUAAGGGCAUUUGGUGGAUGCCUUGGCAUGCACAGGCGAAGAAGGACGUGAUACGCUGCGAAAAGCCGUGGGGAGCUGCGAAUAAGCUUUGAUCCAUGGAUCUCCGAAUGGGGCAACCCACCUUAAAUGCUUGGAAAAUCCAGUCUGUUUUAACGAACGGCCUGGGUUUCCAAGCAUUGUGAUAAGGUAUCUUACUUUCGAAUACAUAGGGGUAAGAAGCGAACGCAGGGAACUGAAACAUCUAAGUACCUGCAGGAAAGGACAUCAACCGAGACUCCGCAAGUAGUGGCGAGCGAACGCGGACCAGGCCAGUGGCAAUGAUGAAUAAAGCGGAACGAUUUGGAAAAGUCGGCCAUAGAGGGUGAUAGCCCCUUACGCGUAGAACAGUCAUUGUCCUUGAGUAGGGCGGGACACGUGAAAUCCUGUCUGAACAUGGGGAGACCACUCUCCAAGCCUAAGUACUCGUGCAUGACCGAUAGCGAACAAGUACCGUGAGGGAAAGGUGAAAAGCACCCCGACGAGGGGAGUGAAAUAGAACCUGAAACCGGAUGCCUACAAACAGUCGGAGCCCGCAAGGGUGACGGCGUACCUUUUGUAUAAUGGGUCAACGACUUAGUGUAACUAGCAAGCUUAAGCCGGUAGGUGUAGGCGCAGCGAAAGCGAGUCUGAAUAGGGCGAUUGAGUUAGUUGCAUUAGACCCGAAACCGAGUGAUCUAGCCAUGAGCAGGCUGAAGGUUGGGUAACACCAACUGGAGGGCCGAACCCAUAACUGUUGCAAUAGUUCGGGAUGACUUGUGGCUAGGGGUGAAAGGCCAAUCAAACUCGGAAAUAGCUGGUUCUCCGCGAAAUCUAUUUAGGUAGAGCGUCGACCGAAUACCCUCGGGGGUAGAGCACUGGAUGGGCUAUGGGGACUCACCGUCUUACUGAUCCUAACCAAACUCCGAAUACCGAGGAGUACUAGUCGGCAGACACACGGCGGGUGCUAACGUCCGUCGUGAAAAGGGCAACAACCCUGACCUCCAGCUAAGGUCCCCAAGUCAUGGCUAAGUGGGAAAGGAUGUGAGGAUCCCAAAACAACCAGGAUGUUGGCUUAGAAGCAGCCAUCAUUUAAAGAAAGCGUAACAGCUCACUGGUCUAAAUAAGGGUCUUUGCGCCGAAAAUGUAACGGGGCUAAAGCCAUGCACCGAAGCUGAGGAUACAUCGUAAGAUGUGUGGUAGCGGAGCGUUCCGUAAGUCUGUGAAGGCGGACCCGUGAGGGCUGCUGGAGAUAUCGGAAGUGCGAAUGUUGACAUGAGUAACGAUAAAGGGAGUGAGAGACUCCCUCGCCGAAAGACCAAGGGUUCCUGCUUAAAGUUAAUCUGAGCAGGGUUAGCCGGCCCCUAAGACGAGGCGGACACGCGUAGUCGAUGGGAACCACGUUAAUAUUCGUGGGCCUGGUGGUAGUGACGGAUCUCGUGUGUUGUUCANNNNNNNNNNNNNNNNNNNNNNNNNNNNNNNNNNNNNNNNNNNNNNNNNNNNNNNNNNNNNNNNNNNNNNNNNNNNNNNNNNNNNNNNNNNNNNNGUGCGGCGAAGAGGUUCCAGGAAAUAGCUCCACCGUAUAGACCGUACCCGAAACCGACACAGGUGGUCAGGUAGAGUAUACCAAGGCGCUUGAGAGAACUAUGUUGAAGGAACUCGGCAAAUUGCACGCGUAACUUCGGAAGAAGCGUGACCCUUUUGUACGCAAGUAUGAUGGGGUGGCACAGACCAGGGGGUAGCGACUGUUUAUCAAAAACACAGGGCUCUGCGAAGUAGCAAUACGACGUAUAGGGUCUGACGCCUGCCCGGUGCUGGAAGGUUAAAGGGAGGGGUGCAAGCUCUGAACUGAAGCCCCAGUAAACGGCGGCCGUAACUAUAACGGUCCUAAGGUAGCGAAAUUCCUUGUCGGGUAAGUUCCGACCUGCACGAAUGGCGUAACGACUUCCCCGCUGUCUCCAACAUAGACUCAGUGAAAUUGAAUUCCCCGUGAAGAUGCGGGGUUCCUGCGGUCAGACGGAAAGACCCCGUGCACCUUUACUAUAGCUUUACACUGGCAUUCGCCAAGGCAUGUGUAGGAUAGGUGGUAGGCUUUGAAGCAGGGACGCCAGUUUCUGUGGAGCCAUCCUUGAAAUACCACCCUUAUCUUCGUGGAUGUCUAACCGCGGUCCGUUAUCCGGAUCCGGGACAGUGUAUGGUGGGUAGUUUGACUGGGGCGGUCGCCUCCGAAAGAGUAACGGAGGCGCGCGAUGGUUAGCUCAGACCGGUCGGAAAUCGGUCGUCGAGUGCAAUGGCAUAAGCUAGCCUGACUGCGAGACUGACAAGUCGAGCAGAGACGAAAGUCGGUCAUAGUGAUCCGGUGGUCCCGUGUGGAAGGGCCAUCGCUCAACGGAUAAAAGGUACGCCGGGGAUAACAGGCUGAUGACCCCCAAGAGUCCAUAUCGACGGGGUUGUUUGGCACCUCGAUGUCGACUCAUCGCAUCCUGGGGCUGGAGCAGGUCCCAAGGGUAUGGCUGUUCGCCAUUUAAAGCGGUACGUGAGUUGGGUUCAGAACGUCGUGAGACAGUUCGGUCCCUAUCUGCCGUGGGUGUAGGAAUAUUGACAGGAUCUGUCCCUAGUACGAGAGGACCGGGAUGGACGUAUCUCUGGUGGAUCUGUUGUCCUGCCAAGGGCAUAGCAGAGUAGCUAUAUACGGAAUGGAUAACCGCUGAAGGCAUCUAAGCGGGAAACCAACCUGAAAACGAGUGUUCCCUAUCAGAGCCGUGGAAGACGACCACGUUGAUAGGACGGGUGUGGAAGCACAGCAAUGUGUGAAGCUUACCGUUACUAAUAGCUCGAUCGACUUCUUCGU